GAUGAACGCUGGCGGCGUGCCUAAUACAUGCAAGUCGAGCGAACGGACGAGAAGCUUGCUUCUCUGAUGUUAGCGGCGGACGGGUGAGUAACACGUGGAUAACCUACCUAUAAGACUGGGAUGACUUCGGGAAACCGGAGCUAAUACCGGAUAAUAUUUUGAACCGCAUGGUUCAAAAGUGAAAGGCGGUCUUGCUGUCACUUAUAGAUGGAUCCGCGCUGCAUUAGCUAGUUGGUAAGGUAACGGCUUACCAAGGCAACGAUGCAUAGCCGACCUGAGAGGGUGAUCGGCCACACUGGAACUGAGACACGGUCCAGACUCCUACGGGAGGCAGCAGUAGGGAAUCUUCCGCAAUGGGCGAAAGCCUGACGGAGCAACGCCGCGUGAGUGAUGAAGGUCUUCGGAUCGUAAAACUCUGUUAUUAGGGAAGAACAUAUGUGUAAGUAACUGUGCACAUCUUGACGGUACCUAAUCAGAAAGCCACGGCUAACUACGUG
rnacentral:rRNA from 1 species